rnacentral:rRNA from 1 species
GACGAACGCUGGCGGCGUGCCUAAUACAUGCAAGUCGAACGCAGUGGGGACGGGUGAGUAACACGUGGGUAACCUCCCAUCAGAGGGGAUAACACUUGGAAACAGGUGCUAAACCGAUACUGAUGGAUGGACCCGCGGUGCAUUAGCUAGUUGGUGAGGUAACGGCUCACCAAGGCACAGAUGCAUAGCAGACAGGAGAGGGUGAGCGGCCACACUGGGACUGAGACACGGCCCAGACUCCUACGGGAGUCAGCAGUAGGGAAUAUUCGGCAAUGGACGAAAGUCUGACCGAGCAACGCCGCGGGAGUGAAGAAGGUUUUCGGGUCGUAAAGCUCUGGUGUUAGAGAAGCGUUAUCUAACCAGAAAGCAACGGCUAACUACGUGCCAGCAGCCGCGGUAAUAC